AUGGAGUAACCUUGAAGCUUAUGAACCUGAUCGCCUUCAUAAUCGCAUCACCAGAGGGACUGCCUCUCCCUAUAAUUCAAGCUAUCCAAGAGAACUGAUAUAAACAUGUAUAUCCACCUCCAGCCAAGGGGAGAGAUGGUAGCAUGGAGGAAGAAGGGAAGAUCAGGAACAAAAAGGAGAGUGGUAGUCUCUGGCUUGUAGAAAGAACCCACUUAUGCCUCAAGACAGCAAAUGAGGCCAACUUUCUUGCAUCUCUGAAUCUGUAGCCUUGCAACUGGCUGGCAAUGAUCUUGAGAAGGAAUAACUGUGGCUAUGACUUAGAUGUUUCUUUGAAGAAAAAAAAAGAGAGAUACAGACAAAGGAAGGGGAAAAGACAAGGGAGGAGGAGAAACAGUGGAGAGAAGAAGAAGAAAAGAGGUAAAGGAAGGUUUUGGAACUCACUGGAGAAAAAAAGCCCAUGUGCGCCUAGUCUCUGGUGCUUUACUGAUCACUACAUUGCAAUGUCUAAUAUACUAAAUGUUGGCCCUGGGAAAGCAAACAGCAAACAACAGGUUAUGGAUACAAAUAAUUAAUUAAAUACCUGUCUGAUUCAUUUCAAUGAAGUAAAUACUGUAAUCAUAACAACAGUUUUUUUCCUAAUCUGUUGGAUUGUCAGUGUAUUAGAAGUGAGCAUAUCCUAAUUUAUAAUAGGAGGAGUGGGUAAGGCUGAACGAGAUGUUUGCUCCCUCUCUGUAACCAUCAGAGACAAAACAGGAAUGAGCCUCCCCGAAGCAGAGUGGGUCUUGCCCAGAAAUUACACAGGUAACCAACUAAGUAUUUGUGAGCCCAUCAUAGUUUGGCCACAAAUACAUCCACCACAAAGAUAUUAAAGUGCCUAAAAUUUUCACUUUGUAUGGACUCAAACAUGAUAUGAUUUGAGAGAGAAAUGAUAGCUAAUUGUCUAGUGAGAUGGAGUCCUUUUAACUGAUGACAUAGUACCUUACGCUUUUAACUGAAUGGAAAAAGUAUAAGCUUGAAGGAGAGGAGGCUGUCUCCGAGAGGCUGGGUGGGGCUCUGGAAGGGGUUUGAAAGGAUUGAGGAUCCAUUAAUGAAAAAGUUUCAAGAAACAGAGUCAGAGAAGCCAAACAGUUAUCUUGCCUCUCCCAGAUUUUCUGGGAAUCAGGCAUUCCUAAAAGUCCCUAAUUUAUUAACUUCACUGUUGAGAAUCAUAAAAUACCAGGAGCUAAAACUCCAUCACUUUAUGAGAAAGGAAGCAGAAACCCAUGAAGGUGACAAAGAAGUCAUAGCUGGAGAAUAAGAAUAUUUUAGAAUUUUCUUAACACUGUGCUAGGUAGUAGGAAGUUCACAUACCUCUUCCAAUCCAAUGACUGACUACCAGCCAU